AAGUCGUAACAAGGUUUCCGUAGGUGAACCUGCGGAAGGAUCAUUAAGAUAAAACAGUGGCUAGCAUACUCUCAAGCAUGCGAAUCGUCAAACCAUUUCUGAGUACAUCACUUCCGCGUUGCUUUCGCAGGUGGAGACCGGCGCAAACGCGGGACGACUCUUUUGGAGGUCCCGGACACGCGUCGCAAUCUGCGAAAGGGUCAGGAUUUUUUAAAUUCUCGUGUUUAAACGUCGUCCGUCCUCGUCUGAAACUAUAAUUACAAAACUACAAAAACUUUCAACAACGGAUCUCUUGGUUCUC
rnacentral:misc_RNA from 1 species